rnacentral:lncRNA from 1 species
UAAGGAGGAGAGCCGCUACAAUGAUUAAAAGGAGGAGAGCCGCUACAGUGAUUAAAAGGAGGAGAGCAUAUACGUUGCUUCUUCUUCAGUCGUCUUCCUCAUGAAAAACCAAAAAAACUUAGCAACUUUCAUCUCCAUGGAAGCCGCAGAAGAUCAGUAGACGAACCCCCUGCCUAAACUUCAUCGUUCUCACCAUACCCCAAAUGACUGGAAUAAAAACCUUCAGCACACCCUAAGCAAUCAACAUCCAUCUCUCUUCAUCGUCCUCUCUGAACCGUACACACAGAAAAAUGUAAGUCAUCUUCUCCAUGACUUAGAACUGAAUACACACGCACAACCAGAUGAACAGAGAGCAUCAAUGAGAUGGUGAGGAAUUCUAUUCCAAAGCAUGGAUGUCGAUCGAGUUCGAGGGGUCGUUCACAGUGCGGGUCUGGUUCCCGCUCGAGUCUGAUUGUUGUCUCGAGUGUUGGUUGUAACACUUGCUCGAUUUCUGUCUCAUGUAUUACUGAAUAUUUCAUCAAUCGAAAGUUCAAUUUUCUAUUUCCCUAGUUGCUGAAGUUCUAUUAAUUGAAAAGCAAUUUCAGUGCUUAAAUUUCAUUUUGUUGCUGGGUUUGUUGAUUUGAGUCCAUUUAGGAUCUCGUUUGUGAGACAUGUUCGGAACUAGAUAUUGAAGUAUCGAGGUCGUCAAGUGAGCUCCGUUGAUGUAUCCUGGCUCAACUGUGUUUUCUCGACGACGAGGAGAUUCAAAGCAUUCCAAGCGUGUGAGUUUCGAAAUCCAUAUUAAGCUCGGUUUGAUCCUUAUUUGCUUUUGAGGUGCGUUUUCUUCCCAGAUCCGGUAUAAUCACUUCAGAAUUAUCUCUGUUUAUGCCUGCUUGUCUAUUUAAAUUUGUACCAUUAAUUAGUUAUUGGUUUUACAUAUGUGGUGGUUCUGAUGGAGAUAAAUCUCUUCAUAUAUUACUGGAUUGUGUAUGUACUUAAUUUUAUUCUUAAUGUUUCCAACCACUUUUAUUUCUAUACAAAAUCCAGUGGGUUCGUUAAGGUUCCUGGAGAUGACCCAAAGUUAAUAGCUUUUUCCUUUCAUGACAAGUUUAAGCAGGGACCGUUGCUUCCUGGUGUGGACUGAGCUCUUGUGAGCUCAUGAACUGUAAGGGCAGCUGGCCCAUUAUUGAUUAAUUAGUAGUUUGAGUUUUGAGUUAGGUAGCGGGUUCAAGCUAAAAGGUGUUUCUUUUUGUCUGGAUCGGGGCUUGAACUUGAAGCCCGAUUUUUAUAAUGUUAAUUAAUUAGGAUUUUUAUUUAGAGACAAAACAAAAAAAUAGAAAAUAUAGUCGCUAGAUUUAUCCUUUAAAAUAAAAAUGAGACGAGCCUCGCCCAAUAAAAUACAAAAUUGUGGGGCCAUCAGUAAAUGAUUAAAAAUAUAUAGAAAAUGGGGAAGGGUCGUUUAGCGAAUUUCACGGCCCUCCCAAAAGAUUACAACGUGUUAGACUCUAUUUGGCGCAACCUUAAUAAACUACAUUCGUAAAUACGGGUGGACAUUUUAUGCGGCCCAAAUCCAAAUCCUAAAACGUUGAAUAGAGUGUGAGUAGGAUUACGGGUUCAUUUGAUGAGGCGCAAUCCGAAACACACUUUAAACGAUGUUCACUUUCUCAAAUAAAUAAAUAAACAUAUAUAUAUAUAUAUAUAUAUAUAUAUAUAUAACCGGAAAAAUAAACAAGAGGGAAACAUGGUGCUGCGAAAGCUGACAGUCACCUCCUUAACUCAUAUAACUUUGCCUCUGAUCGGCCCAAAACCCGCUACCGAGUGAAUAGAUACCUGCAUCUGCACACAAUAUAUAGGGAGUAAAGUGAGUACUCCAACUCAGUGAGUAAUAAAGGUAUAUAACAAUUAAAUACAACAGUUUAGCGACCGUGCUAGAACCACGGAACCCGGGAAUGCCUAAAACCUUCUCCUGGGUUAAUAGAAUUCCUUGUCCGGAUUUCUGAUUCGCAGACUGUGAAUUGAGUCAUCUUUUUCCUCGGUUCGAGAUUCAACUGGUGACUUGGGACACCAUUAUUCUCCUUAGUGGUGACUCUGAAUAAAUAAUAAUAUAAUUCCAUUCCGAUUGUCCUUUAUUUGGAAAAACUCCUUUAUGCCCUUUUGUGGGGUGUAUAACAAAAGGAGGUGUGACAUUCGGUAUUCUGUUAUUAAUUUCGUAGAGAUUGUAGAUUUCGCAAUGUGUUAGACUUACCUAGUCGUGAUGACUGGAUGCCGUCAUGACAUGUUCACAAUUGGUGAACUAGGGUCGUGAUACGUUGCCAUACGAGGUACUAGAAGUGUGGAUGUUACCUUAUAGGCAACAUUUUUGAAGCGUGGCUUCUAAAGCAAUAUUUGAAAAGUGUGGCCUUAAAGAAAAGGUUACGCUACUUUUAGGCCAUCCCCUUAAAAGCGUUGACUAAAGUCGUAAAGUGUAGCCUUUGAUCAAAUGCCACACUUUAUGAUAAUUUAGGCCAUACCUUCAGGGGUGGCUAAAGACUGAAAAUGUUGUAGUGGUAUUAUCUCACGCCGUGGAGUCUGGAGAGGGUAGUGUAUACAUAGUCCUUACCCCUACUUUGUGAAGAUAGAGAGGUUGUUUCCGAUAGACCCUUGGCUCAAAAUAGUAUAAGUACCACAUUAAUAAAAAUAUAGGCAAGAAGAGACAGUAUAAAAAAGCCAUAUAAAAGCAGAAUAACACAACAAGAUAGUAAAGUGAUUAGCAAUGAAAGAAAAUAAUGGUUAGUCAUAAAACCUACUACCAAUAGAAAACGAGACUACAUGCCAAUACUAAAGUUAUGAACACUCUACACUACCUACUCUAUUAUUCUAAUUCUCGGCCUCCAUACCUUCCUAUCAAGAGUCAUGUCUUCGGUCUGUUGAAGUUGCACCAUGUCUUGCCUAAUCACUUCUCCCACCUCUUCUUUGUCCUACCUCUACUUCUCCGUAGGCCCUCUAAUGUCAACCUUUAACACCUCCUCAAUGGGGUGUUUGUGCUUCGCCUCCUUAUAUGACCAAACCACCUAAGUUGCGCUUCCCGCAUCUUGUCCUCAAUAGAGGCGGCCCACACCUUAUCGCGAAUAACCUCAUUUAUGAUCUUAUCUAAUCUGGUGUGCUUGCAUAUCCAUCUCAGAAUCCUCAUCUUUGCUACCUUCAUCUUUUGGACAUGAGCAAUCUUGAGGGGUCAACACUCAGCCUCAUACAACAUCGUUGGUCUGACUACCACUUUGCAGAACUUACCCUUAACUUCCAGUGACACCUUCUUGUCACACAAAACACCAGAAGCGAGUCUCCAUUUCAUCCAUCCCGUCCGAAUACGAAUGCGACAUCUUCAUCAAUCUCCCCAUCCCCCAUGAAUAAUAGACCCAAGGUACUUAAAACUCCCUUUCCUAGGGAUGACCUGCGAGUCCAAUCUCACCUCCCCCUCCUUUCCUAAAGUCUCGUUGCAGAACUCACACUCCAAGUAUUCUGUCUUGGUCCUACUCAACUUGAAACCCUUAAAUUCCAAGGUCUGCCUUCAUGCCUCUAAUUGCGUAUUCAUACUGUCUCACAUCUCAUCAAUCAAUACAAUAUCAUAUGCAAAUAUCAUGCACCACGGCACCUCCCCUUGAAUGUAGCGCAUCAAUACGUCCAUCACCAGGGCAAAAAAAAAAUGGGCUUAGUACUGACCCCUAUACGAACCCAUCAUAAUAAAAAAUGNNNNNNNNNNNNNNNNNNNNNNNNNNNNNNNNNNNNNNNNNNNNNNNNNNNNNNNNNNNNNNNNNNNNNNNNNNNNNNNNNNNNNNNNNNNNNNNNNNNNNNNNNNNNNNNNNNNNNNNNNNNNNNNNNNNNNNNNNNNNNNNNNNNNNNNNNNNNNNNNNNNNNNNNNNNNNNNNNNNNNNNNNNNNNNNNNNNNNNNNNNNNNNNNNNNNNNNNNNNNNNNNNNNNNNNNNNNNNNNNNNNNNNNNNNNNNNNNNNNNNNNNNNNNNNNNNNNNNCCCCCCCAACGUCCUCACUUGAGUGUUUACUCCAUCAUACAUGUCCUUAAUCAAGCUAAUAUAGGCAACAUGAACACAUCAAGCCUCCAAACAUCUCCACAAAACCUCCCUCGAAACUUUAUCGUACGCCUUUUCUAAGUCAAUAAACACCAUAUGCAACUCAUUCUUUCUCUCCUUAUACUGCUCCAUCGAUCUCCUAACAAGGUAUAUGGCUUCUGUAGUGAACGCCCAGACAUAAACCUAAAUUGGUUCUCGAAAAUAAUCAUACUCAUUCUCAUCCUUAGCUCUAUCACUCUCUCCCAGACAUUCAUAGUAUGGCUAAACAUCUUGAUACCCCGAUAAAUAUUACAAUUAUGGAUAUCACCCUUAUUCUUGUAUACAAAAAAUAUCGUGCUCCACCUCCACUCUUCGUGCUUCUUCUUUCUACAAAAAAUGACAUUAAAUAACAUAGUGAGACACUCCAAGGCCGCUUUGCCGACAUUCUUCAAAAAUUCCACCGGGAUUUCAUCUGGUCCUUUCGUUUUUCCCCUACUCAUCUUACCUAUAGCACCCACAACUUCAUCAACUCUAACUUUCCUACAAUAUCCAAAGUCAUAAUGACUCCCGGAGAAUUUUAAAUCACCUAGUAUAAUGUGCAUGUCCCCCUUCUUGUUCAAAAGACUAUAAAAGUAGGUCCUCCAUCUCCGACGGAUAAACCCCUCAUCCAACCUCUUAAGAAAGAUGUGCCCCAACAUAUAAUAUAACAGUGGUCUAUUUGUUCUGUUCUGUAAGAGUUUAAGUUCUCUGUUAUUGAUCUACUUUUUAUAUAGCUUGGAUGUCAUACCUUCCACAUCUUAAUGUAUCAAUCCCAAAAAAUGCACACCAAUUGUAAAAAGGUUGUAAAUAUGUUUUUAAAUUUUGCAAUGUCUAGUUGAUGAAUAAAAUAUAUUUUGUUUAUCCGUAUUAGAGACAAGUGAAUUGAUUUGACUCAAAAACAAUUGAAAAUAAGAGCAUAAAUGAGAUUAUGAAAUAAAAUUGAAAGAAAUACAAGCCUUACUAUGUGUUUAGUCUUCCUGAUAACAAAAGUAUGAAUAAUAUUAAGAGUAGACCAAAAUAAAUAACUUUAUAAUUUAGAGAGAAAAAUGUAGCGUUUUUGUGUACAUAGUAUUUCGUGUGUGCAAUAGAUGUUAGUCCUCCUAUUUUUAGCCAUGUUCGGGGAGAUAUGAUCCCUAAAUCAAACUUCUCUUGAAUAAAAAUAAAGCCAACAUUGAUGGAUUAAUAAUGAUUGGCCAUAAAUAUCUAUAUUCCUCGUAACGGCUGCCCAUUGAAUGCUAGCCGAUGGCAAAGCUCUGAGUCUUUGUUGUUGGCUAUUUUUCCUUCGGGAUUUGUCCGGCACCGACUGCAUUACAUCCGAUGUCAGUUUUUCAUUGAAUCACGUCCUAUCUGUCUUUUGUUCCACGUGCCAUUUUGUCAUUCACCUAGCUAUCACUACUGCUUUUCACCAUACAUAUUUUCGACUCUUUCAUAAUAAGGAGAAAAAUAGUUUCCUAAUUAUAUUACAAUAAAUUUGUUUCUGAAGAGUAAGGAAGACGGAGUUCGUCAGUAAGAAAAGAUAAUAUGUUGGAAAUAUUUUAAGGACUGUAUUUUAUUCUUAUACUCAUCUAUCAGUACUUGGUCCAAGUGAAUUUUUUUUUGAAGAUUGGCAAAGGAACUCAAGUAUGAAUCAAGUCCAUCCAGAGUGUGCAAAGACACGAGCAGAUUCAAUCACAAGGGAUGCACGUGAGGGAGAUAAGCAUAAGUGGUUAUAUCUGAGAUCUCUUGAUAGAAAAGGUUUCAUAAUUGACAAUGAGAAGAGCUCCUUAGUUGAAGGAAAAACUAUCCAAGAUAAGGGAGAAGUUAGAAGUUGAGGAUAACUAGACUCUUCCACUAAGGAAGAGUAGCCAUAGAACUUAGUUAUUUUUUAUUCUACUAUUGCAAGAUGUUCUCAGUAUACAGGUACGCACAAAAGAAAAAUUUAAAGGUGAGUUAAGAGGAAAAUGGCAAGGCAUUUUGCAAGCAAUUCUUGUGUGAUUCAACCGUGCGAACCUGAAGCUACAUGAACUAGAUAGAAGAACUAAUUCCAAUUGUUUUUCUUUUAUUCUAGUUAAAUUGUAAUAGAUGUUUUCAUAUUAUACCUUUCAGUUUUAUCUAAAAG